GGCUCUGCCAUUGCACUUGGGUGGUGCUGACCCUUGCGAAUUCCCCAAACGCGGGAAUCUCG
ensembl:snRNA U1 U1 spliceosomal RNA